UACGGAGGUGGCAAGCGUUGCUCGGAUUCACUGGGUGUAAAGGGCAAGUAGGCGGCUCUCCAAGUCGGGUGUGAAAUGCCACGGCUCAACCGUGGAACUGCGCCCGAUACUGUUGGGCUUGAGGACGAGAGAGGCGAAUGGAAUUCUCGGUGUAAGGGUGAAAUCUGUAGAUAUCGAGAGGAACACCAGUGGCGAAGGCGACUCGCUGGACAGGUAUUGACGCUGAGGUGCGAAAGCGUGGGGAGCAAACAGG
rnacentral:rRNA from 1 species